GCCCAGGUGAUGGAACGGUAGACAUAGGAGACUUAAAAUCUCUGGCUCUAUGAGCAUGCGGGUUCAAGUCCCGCCCUGGGUACCA
rnacentral:tRNA from 1 species